UGGCGUCUAGUGAAUUGAGUCCCAAGUACAAGUAUGAAUGAAAAAAGAAGGUAAAUGAGAAUGGGAAGGGAUAAGUGGAAAUGAUAAGGAAGUGAAAGGAUAAGUAAAAGUAUGAGAGAAUGAUGUUAAGGUUAAGCAUGGGUGGGAAAGCAUAUUGAGGGUCUAAGGAAAGUAUGUGGGGUAGUAGUCCACGCUAGGUAUC
rnacentral:lncRNA from 1 species